AUGUUGAACAUUCCCUCUGCCUGCACCACUUCUCCUGUACCCCCUACUACUAAUCCCCCUGCUGCUACCCCAGUGAAGAGAGCCAAAUCCCACAAGGCUAAGUCCCCCAGGGCCAAAUCCCCAAGGGCCAAGUCCCCCAGGCAGAAAUCUCCACAGGGUAGGGGAACCACUUCACCACCCCCUACAACAGCCCAGACUCCCAAGGAAUGAAAAACCAAAGGUGGAGAUUGAGCCGUCUCUCUCAGAAGUCAAUGCAGAACCUGUCCCAGAACUUCCUGAUUUCCAGUCCCUGAAUGUGUCCUGUCCCAAUGGCCUAUUAGUGAACUUUUCAGUGAGCAAUUACUAGGUCUGAAGAGUGAGGUACAGCAAUGCUCUCACAAAAUCCUAGUAAGGCAGAGGUAUCCAGUGCAGCACAUUAGUCCUUGUGAGUCUGAGAAGAAGAGUCUUUCUCUGAUGGCUGAGGUGUCCAGAGUCAUUACAAGCCAAGGAACUUUUGAAGGAUGGAUCCACCCAGGUUCUUUUUGCUGAUGCUACCGUGAGUAAAAGCCCAGAUUCGGGGACCAUUCUCAAGCCUCCCACGGCUCCUCAACCACCAUGCCCAGAACCCAAGCCACAAGACAGUGCUCUUAACACUAAAGAGCAUAAACCUGAGACAAAUGAGCCCACAGA